AUGUUUCACAGUGAUGAGCAGUGUCAGCAGUGCCCUUUAGCAAGCCACUCUUAUUUGAAACCGGGGCACCAGCGCAGUGGGGCAGUGCCUUGAAAGUGACCCUUAUGUACCUGAGCAUAUGGUGAAAUCACUGGACAAAUGGAUCCCAAUGUUUGGCUGUCUCCCCUCUCACCUACGGACCCCCGCUGGCGGCGAGGGGCAGAGUGGAGAGGACAUCUUCCAAGUUGCAUUUCUGGCGAUUCUCACCUGUGGAGAGGGUCUCGCAGAGGGAGAACAAAGCACUUAUCUGAGUCAAUUGGAGCGAAUGGGAAACUAACAACUCACCGGCUGGCUGGUUUUAUUGCUUUGUUUGGAGACAAAUCCCGCGAUAUCCUCAGCCGGCGUGGAGCCGGGCGGUGGCAGAGCCUGGUCUUUGAGCUGUUUCUCCACUGCUUGGUUUAUUUUGUAUCGAAUCCUUCCCUUCCUCCGUGAAGCUGUCUGCCAGCACUGAGAUUUGUUUCCAUGGCAGGCUCUAUACCGCCUCAUAAAUCUCAAAGGUGUAAUAGUCUAUGGAGGCUGGACCCACACUUCAAGAUGUUUGCGUGUUAAGAUUUUUGCGCGUGUUUGUAUUAUUUAACAGUGAAUAAUACCAUAGUUUUCGCUAGGACUAAGCAACGAUACUGACAUGAUUUAAUAUUGAAUAAAUAAAUAUUGAAUCUGAUGAGCCUGAC
ensembl:lncRNA